rnacentral:rRNA from 1 species
CAGAGGGCGCUUUGGCUUUGGCAGCGGUCCAAGUUCCUUGGAACAGGACGUCACAGAGGGUGAGAAUCCCGUACGUGGUCGCUGGCUAUUGCCGUGUAAAGCCCCUUCGACGAGUCGAGUUGUUUGGGAAUGCAGCUCUAAAUGGGAGGUACAUUUCUUCUAAAGCUAAAUAUUGGCCAGAGACCGAUAGCGCACAAGUAGAGUGAUCGAAAGAUGAAAAGCACUUUGGAAAGAGAGUCAAACAGCACGUGAAAUUGUUGAAAGGGAAGCGCUUGCAGCCAGACUUGCUUACAGUUGCUCAUCCGGGUUUUUACCCGGUGCACUCUUCUGUAGGCAGGCCAGCAUCAGUUUGGGCGGUAGGAUAAAGGUCUCUGUCACGUACCUCCUUUCGGGGAGGCCUUAUAGGGGAGACGACAUACUACCAGCCUGGACUGAGGUCCGCGCAUCUGCUAGGAUGCUGGCGUAAUGGCUGUAAGCGGCCCGUCUUGAAACACGGACCAAGGAGUCUAACAUCUAUGCGAGUGUUUGGGUGUCAAGCCCGAGCGCGUAAUGAAAGUGAACGGAGGUGGGAACCCGCAAGGGUGCACCAUCGACCGAUCCUGAUGUCUUCGGAAGGAUUUGAGUAAGAGCAUGGCUGUUGGGACCCGAAAGAUGGUGAACUAUGCUUGAAUAGGGUGAAGCCAGAGGAAACUCUGGUGGAGGCUCGCAGCGGUUCUGACGUGCAAAUCGAUCGUCAAAUUUGGGC